rnacentral:rRNA from 1 species
GACGUAGGGCGCGAGCGUUGUCCGGAUUUAUUGGGCGUAAAGAGCUCGUAGGCGGUUUGUCGCGUCGUUCGUGAAAACUCACAGCUUAACUGUGAGCUUGCGGUCGAUACUGGGCGGCUAGAGUCUGGUAGGGGGAUCUGGAAUUCCUGGUGUAGCGGUGGAAUGCGCAGAUAUCAGGAGGAACACCGGUGGCGAAGGCGGGAUCCUGGGCCAGUACUGACGCUGAGGAGCGAAAGCGUGGGGAGCAAACAGG